rnacentral:rRNA from 1 species
UACAGAGGUCUCAAGCGUUGUUCGGAUUCAUUGGGCGUAAAGGGUGCGUAGGCGGCGGGGUAAGUCGGAUGUGAAAUCCCGGGGCUCAACCCCGGAACUGCAUUCGAUACUGCCUUGCUAGAGUACUGGAGAGGAGACUGGAAUUUACGGUGUAGCAGUGAAAUGCGUAGAUAUCGUAAGGAAGACCAGUGGCGAAGGCGAGUCUCUGGACAGUUACGUGACGCUGAGGCACGAAGGCCAGGGGAGCAAACGGG